AAAAAAAUUACAAAUUUUUAACUUAAAUUUGAGAAAAAACGAAUUUUAAUAUUGAACCGAGUUAUUAAUUUUACCGAAUUUGACAGGUUUUGAUCAAAUUUAUCGGUUUAGCUCUAAUCCAGUUUUAUCUCAACUCGGAAUCGGUAAGAAAAGCAAAUCAUUUUCCGACCAGUGUGGUCCGGUUUACAAAUACUACUGUAAAGAUUAGUCUUCUGUGAUUACUGCCAAAUGUAAAAACCUCUUUUUUCCUGUUAAUCAGUUAACUGAAGGCAUGUCAUAUUUUAGAGCGAGCGGUCCCACAUGACAGAUAACUAAACUAAGAUCGUGAUUAACCCCGUUUUUUUUAACGGGAGUUUUUAGCUUCUGCUAAAAGACAGUUCUUAGAUUUACUUAGAUUUUAACUAAGAAAAGCUAAGAACCGUCUCUUAGCCGAAAAAUGUAAAGAAAAAAAACAAAAAAAAUGUCAGAUCAUGAGUUAAGAACCCCGGCUAAAAGACCGUUUGAUCAUGCCCUAAAGAAAAUAACCAUUAAUACAAGUCGACCGCCAUAGUCACCGACUCUAAGGGUCCGAAUGGUGACUGCAGAUUUGGUAAUAUUAGCGGGGCGUAAUUAAAGUGUGGUACGGUCCAACUGUGGUUCGUGCGGUUUGCGGGAUAAGUGCGGUUUUGAUUAAAAAAAAGUAGUGGGGUUUUAAUAAAAAAAAGUAGUGGGGUUUUGAUAGAAAAUAUAAUGUAAAAUUAAUUGUUUAAAAUAUUUUUUAUAAAAUUAUUUAUUUUAAUGUGUAAUCCAAAUAAAUGUGUUUAUUUUUUUUCAAAUGUCAUACCCAAAGAUUAAUAUUUGUAUCUUUUGAUAUUUGUGCUAGACAAAAUGAAGUAAAGUUUAGUUAAUAUUCUAAAAUAAAUUUAUUCAGUGGUAAAAGUAAAGACAUAAAAAUACAAUGCAAAAAAUGUGGAGUAAACAUAACCAUAAGAUGAAAGUAUAUAUUGUUAUUAUAAUAUCUUUUAUUAGUAAAAUAAGUAAAUGAAAACUCAAUUUUUAUUAUUAAGCAAGAGAGAGAGUGCGGUAUUUAGUGCGUACCACACCAUAUUAGCAGUAGUAUAUGAAAAGUGCGUUAUUUGCAUGAACUGAACAAACAAAAAAAUAUUUUUUCAACUGGUUAUUUCAUGAAAAAACGCUCUUGAUAUUACAUUUCUCUUGAUCGGUGACAUUUACAAUUUUAAGUCACAUCAAGUCCAAAUACGCACCGCACUAUGGUUUCCAUUCAUAACCUAAACUAAACCAACAAGCACCGUAAUUAAAUACAGAUAUUUUUUAUUUCUUUUUAAACAAAUCUUUGGAAGUCUUACGAAAAUUACAGAGAAAGCAACGACCGAGGAGGAACAAAGUCGAAAAUGAAUAGGUCGCCGGAGAACGAUAAGUGUUCGAUAUGUCAUGCACACUUCACCGCUCCUUGCCAAGCCAAUUGCUCUCACUGGUUCUGCGAAUCUACAACCUAGUCGAUCAAGAUUCAUAACAAGAACAGAGGAUGAGUUUUGAUUCACCUGGAGGUGAUUGAUCGAGUCUGGAGUAAAUAGAAGAGCCGCGAAGCAAGCAACACUGGAACGUUUGUUUCGAAAGUCGUAUUAUACAUCAUCGUUGUCUUCGCUCCAUCACGUUUGAAACCGUUGAACGCGUUUCGCACGGGUUUAUGUUUGUUCGCAGUUUGAUAGUUUGAUGUUAUAUAUUGUACAAUUCUGAUGACAUUAAUAUUUAUGUACUUUGUUCGA